rnacentral:misc_RNA from 1 species
GAUGAAGAACGCAGCGAAAUGCGAUAAGUAAUGUGAAUUGCAGAAUUCAGUGAAUCGUCGAAUCUUUGAACGCACAUUGCGCCCAUUAGUAUUCUAGUGGGCAUGCCUGUUCGAGCGUCAUUAAGUCCACUUAAGCCCUGCUUAGUGUUGGGAGACUGCUCCAGCGGUGCUACCCUGUAGCUACCCUGCAGCUCCUCAAAGACAGCGGCGGAGUUGUGGUAUCCUCUGAGCUUAGUAACUUGUUCUAGCUUUCGAGUACACCACUUCCCCUGCCGUAAAACCCUUAAUUUUUAAUGGUUGACCUCGGAUCAGGUAGGAAUACCCGCUGAACUUAAGCAUAUCAAUAAGCGGAGGA